UACAGAGGGGGCAAGCGUUGUUCGGAAUUACUGGGCGUAAAGGGCGCGUAGGCGGCCUUCUAAGUCGAACGUGAAAUCCCCGGGCUCAACCCGGGAACUGCGUCCGAUACUGGAAGGCUAGAAUCCGGGAGAGGGAUGCGGAAUUCCAGGUGUAGCGGUGAAAUGCGUAGAUAUCUGGAGGAACACCGGUGGCGAAGGCGGCAUCCUGGACCGGUAUUGACGCUGAGGCGCGAAAGCGUGGGUAGCAAACAGG
rnacentral:rRNA from 1 species